GAUGAAGAACGCAGUGAAAUGCGAUAAGUAAUGUGAAUUGCAGAAUUCAGUGAAUCAUCGAAUCUUUGAACGCACAUUGCGCCCGCCAGUAUUCUGGCGGGCAUGCCUGUCCGAGCGUCAUUUCAACCCUCGAACCCCUCCGGGGGGUCGGCGUUGGGGAUCGGCCCUUUCACCGGGUGCCGGCCCCUAAAUACAGUGGCGGUCUCGCCGCAGCCUCUCAUGCGCAGUAGUUUGCACACUCGCACCGGGAGCGCGGCGCGUCCACGUCCGUAAAACACCCCAACUUCUGAAAUGUUGACCUCGGAUCAGGUAGGAAUACCCGCUGAACUUAAGCAUAUCAAUAAGCGGAGGA
rnacentral:misc_RNA from 1 species